ensembl:lncRNA
CUGACAAUAACUCUUGGAGGUGAGCUCUCACAGCAUCGACGUCCUGAGGGUGAAUAGGUCUAGCCCUAUGCUUGAACGGUGUCUCAUUGCUUAGUUUUAUUUGAUGUUUCACUUUUGCCGUGUGACCAUAAUCAAGGUCAUGCUGCGAGAAGACUUCAGGCCUAGAACUCAGAAACUUUGAGAUCCUCUCCUUCCAUUCUGCAGAUAAAGGGGAGUCUCCAAAAUCAAAGGUGAGGUUGCCAGUGUUACGUUCUCUCUCCACUGGUUCCUUGCUUAAACCUUGAUGCUGGCCCAUGAUCCUCUGGACUGCAUGGAUUUCCGCUAACACAGUUUUAGGAGUAAGUCGUAUGUCAGUUUGUGUCUCAUUCCUCAGCAGGACUGAUAACUUAGUUGGAUGCUUAUGGGGUAGAGAGUGCAGACAGCUUGCAAUCAAGAUUCCAUUCGGCAAAGGGAUCGAUGGUGGUUCAAGGGCCACCCAUCCUUUCAUGUAGGGCCCAUUCAGAUGAACUGCACCAUCCAAAACUACUGUACUUUUUGCAGGUAUAACUUCCACAGAGGUCCCUUUCACUUUUACACACCCAAGGUUCUCGCUGGUAGCUCGAAUCCACCUGGCCUCCAACACUCUAAGUACUGCCUGAUAUCCACAAAGACUGGACUGAAGCUUCACUGAACUCUCUUUGGCACUCUUGCUAUACAACACAUCAAGGGAGUUAGUUCCAACUAGGAUCUGUGGGGAACUCGUCAAGUCUGGCACCACCAACGCCAAAGUAGGAAUUUCAACUUCCACCCCAAUGAACGUUGCAGGAAACUUUAGGGUUAACUCAAUGUAUCCUAAGUAUGGUACAGCCUGACCGUUAGCCCCUUCAACUUCUAACAGGUUACCCAGUGGUUUCAAGGGAGAGUCUGUCAGAUUAUUUUCAUAAAAUGAUUGAGGGACCGUAGUCACUUGUGAGCCUGUAUCUAGCAGACAGUUCACUUUUUUGUCUCCAAUCAUAACUUCUGCCGUACACUUCACUCCUACUAACCCUUUGGGCAAGCAGUUUGACGGCGGUGUGUUAUGUCUAUCUGUAUCAACGUUCUGUUCAAAACAUUCAGGGCGAUAGUCUGAAUGUAUGGUCUUCGUAUGCCCUCCUACAAAGACCUUCUUUAUUUAAAGGCUGAGUAGGCCUUCCAUACUGAGAGUCCCAAGCACGCUGCUGCUCUCUCAGCUUAGCCCUUUUCUCCGUCACCUUAGCGGGGUUCGCUGCAUUUUCGCAAUUAACUGCCAGGUGUCCAUCUUCUCCACAGGAAAAACAAUACCAAGCACGAGGCCUAUCAGUCCUCAAUGAGCUUUUCCUGGGGUCAUUGUUCCUCACUGUAUCAAGCGGUCUCUGCAUAUAGAAUGCUUGAGGUGUCUGACGAAUAGCACUCUGAGCUUGCAGUUCAGCCACUUGACUUCGCAGCUUACGAAUCUCUGAUUCCUCCAAAUCGCUUGAUUUUGAACUUUGGGCUACUGACUCCUUCACUGCCGCAACCUGGGUGCUUAACUCCUCCACCAUCCCCUUCAGAGCAGUUAGCUCAACCUUCUCAGAGAAACCUUUCUUGUUCUUCUGAUCUGGUGGCUGUUUCAGGGCUGUGACUUGAGCCUGAAUUUCCACUACUUGCUUCCUUAACAGACUCAUUUCAGAAUUCUCAGAAUGUGGUAUAUCACAAGGGCAAGCCAACAUCUGAUUGGAAGGUACUCGAAGCUUUGGAAAACCAGCUGAAGGUUUUGACAGUCCAAGAUGUUUCUUCAUACGUUCCUCCUUCGAAGCUUGUUUAUCUUCUUGAGUACGUAUAAGCACUGCC